rnacentral:rRNA from 1 species
AUUGAACGCUGGCGGCAUGCUUUACACAUGCAAGUCGAACGGCAGCGCGGGCUUCGGCCUGGCGGCGAGUGGCGAACGGGUGAGUAAUGCAUCGGAACGUGCCCAGUAGUGGGGGAUAGCCCGGCGAAAGCCGGAUUAAUACCGCAUACGACCUGAGGGUGAAAGCGGGGGACCGAAAGGCCUCGCGCUAUUGGAGCGGUCGAUGUCGGAUUAGCUAGUUGGUGGGGUAAAGGCUUACCAAGGCGACGAUCCGUAGCUGGUCUGAGAGGACGACCAGCCACACUGGAACUGAGACACGGCCCAGACUCCUACGGGAGGCAGCAGUGGGGAAUUUUGGACAAUGGGGGCAACCCUGAUCCAGCCAUGCCGCGUGCGGGAAGAAGGCCUUCGGGUUGUAAACCGCUUUUGUUCGGGAAGAAAUCCUCUGGGCUAAUACCCCGGGGGGAUGACGGUACCGGAAGAAUAAGCACCGGCUAACUACGUG